CACGUAGGGUGCGAGCGUUGUCCGGAAUUAUUGGGCGUAAAGAGCUCGUAGGCGGUUUGUCGCGUCUGCUGUGAAAAUCCAGGGCUUAACCCUGGACCUGCAGUGGGUACGGGCAGACUGGAGUGCGGUAGGGGAGAUCGGAAUUCCUGGUGUAGCGGUGAAAUGCGCAGAUAUCAGGAGGAACACCGGUGGCGAAGGCGGAUCUCUGGGCCGUAACUGACGCUGAGACGCGAAAGCGUGGGGAGCAAACAGG
rnacentral:rRNA from 1 species